AAUUUCUCGUACCAGCCCUUGAUCUUCUGCUCCAGGUCAGCGUUGGCCUCCUCUAGUGCUCGCACAUUUUCCAGUUUAAAAUCAAUGGACUAUAAGCUUGAUAAAGCUCCUUCGCCUGAUGUGUAAGUUUCUUCUUGAGGUGGGAGCCAAGACAAAAUCAAGCCAAAGAAGAGGAAAAGAAAGGGUUAAUUACUUGCAACAAGCCAGGAGAACACCAUGGAUAUUCCCAAACAACAAAAUUAGGGAAGUUUUAAGGUACAUGUGUAUUCAUGUGGGGCUUGGCAAGGGAGAA